rnacentral:lncRNA from 1 species
GUGGCACAAUAGUUAGCUCAUGACUCUGCUCCCCAUCUUCUAUGUGGAUGGCACCAACAUCAUCUUGAAGCUGAACAGUCUGGAAUGAUGAUUCCUCUGAAAUUUGAGACUGUUCCUCGAUGAGUUGAGUAGCCAUCUGCCCCAUCUGAUCAGUCAAACUGUGAAGGGAAGUUAUUUCCUGCUGAAACUCCAUGUUCAGUUGCUGGAACUGAAUGUUCUGAACAGUCAUCUGCUCCAAUAACUCCUUCAAUGUAGGCUCAGAAGUAGUGGAAGGAUGAGGAGUUGCUUGGACAGGCUCAUGAAACUGUGGCUGCUGUGGCUCCUAGACAGGUGGAGAAGGCAUACAAGAAUUCAGAGAUGGUUGAUAUUGUUGUGGAGCGUCAUACCGUCCCAAGCUAGGGUCAUUCCAUCCAGGAUCGUUGCUGUAACCAUACUGAGCGGGGAAGAAUUUAUCGAAGAACAUAUGCUCAAGAUCUUCCCAAGAAGUGAUGGAUCCAGGAGGAAGACCAUAAAGCCAAUCCCUUGGUGCUUCUUGUAAUGAGUGUGGGAAUGCCUUUAAGAACAUGUGAUCAUCAGGG